GGGUCAUGGCUCAGUGGUACAGCUUCUGCCUUGCAUGCAGAAGGCCCCAGAUUCAGUCUCCAGCAUGUCCA